rnacentral:rRNA from 1 species
CUACAAGCUGACAACGGACGAGAAUUCGACAGCCAUGCCGCCCGCGCCUUCUUCGAUACCUAUGGCAUCGCGUUUCGCAUGUCUUGCCCUUACACGUCUGCGCAAAACAGGCGUGCCGAGCGCAUGCUCCGCACCCUAAACGAGACUGUUCGUGCCCUGCUCACCCAAGCGUCCAUGCCGCCCAUGUUCUGGGCCGAAGCUCUCGCCACGGCCACCUUCCUUCACAAUCGUCGCCCGUGCCGUGUUCGCCAGUACCUUACUCCUUUUGAGCUUUUGUACUGCGCCUCUCCCGAUUACAGUGGCAUCCGCGUCUUCGGAUGCCUCUGCUACCCGAACACCAGCGCCACUACCGCCCACAAGCUUGCGCCGCGCUCUGUUGCCUGCGUAUUCCUCGGCUACUCGUCGGAGCACAAGGGCUACCGGUGCCUCAACCGCGCCACCGGCCGCGUGCUCAUCUCCCGCCAUGUUUACUUCGACGAGGAACAAUUCCCCUUCGCCUCC